UACGGAGGGUGCAAGCGUUAUCCGGAUUCACUGGGUUUAAAGGGUGCGUAGGCGGGCAGAUAAGUCAGCGGUGAAAUCCCCGAGCUUAACUUGGGAACUGCCGUUGAUACUAUUUGUCUUGAAUGUCGUGGAGGUUAGCGGAAUAUGUCAUGUAGCGGUGAAAUGCUUAGAUAUGACAUAGAACACCCAUUGCGAAGGCAGCUAACUACGCGAAUAUUGACGCUGAGGCACGAAAGCGUGGGGAUCAAACAGG
rnacentral:rRNA from 1 species